UACUACCUUACACCAUAUUAAAUAACCACUUUACAGUAAGAACAAUGAGAAGAAACAGAAUAAGUCUAUUCAAUUUGAGCUUAGCACAUUCCCUUUCAAGUUUAACUUUUUUGAGUUAUUGCCUCAACGUCUCCCUUGUUCAACGUCUUUAAGCUUUUGCUUCAAUCGAUCACACGAAUUUUCAUCAUCUUCGCACCUAAUCAUCAAGCUCGAUUCCACC
rnacentral:lncRNA from 1 species